AACGUAGGAGACAAACGUUAUCCGGAGUUACUGGGCGUAAAGGGCGCGUAGGCGGCCCGCACAAGUCUGCGGUGAAAACCCCCGGCUUAACCGGGGGCCGGCCGUGGAAACUGUCGGGCUAGAGGCCGGGAGAGGGCAGCGGAAUUCCCGGUGUAGCGGUGAAAUGCGUAGAGAUCGGGAGGAACACCGGCGGCGAAGGCGGCUUCCUGGACCGACACUGACGCGUGAGG
rnacentral:rRNA from 1 species